UACGUAGGCAGCAAGCGUUGUUCGGAAUUACUGGGCGUAAAGGGCGCGUAGGCGGCCCUCUAAGUCAGACGUGAAAUCCCCGGGCUCAACCCGGGAACUGCGUCUGAUACUGGAGGGCUUGAAUCCGGGAGAGGGAUGUGGAAUUCCAGGUGUAGCGGUGAAAUGCGUAGAUAUCUGGAGGAACACCGGUGGCGAAGGCGGGUCUCUGGGCCGAUACUGACGCUGAGGAGCGAAAGCGUGGGGAGCGAACAGG
rnacentral:rRNA from 1 species